rnacentral:rRNA from 1 species
GUCAAAGAAACGAAGGCUUACGGUGGAGACCUAGGCACUCAGAGACGAUGAAGGGCGCAGAUACCGGCGAUACGCUUCGGGGAGCUGGUAACAAGCAUCGAUCCGAAGAUCCCCGAAUAGGGCAACCUCUUAAAGAACUCCUUUUUGAAUUCAUAGAAAAGGAAGAGGCAACCCGGUGAACUGAAACAUCUCAGUAGCCGGAGGAAAAGAAAGCAAAAGCGAUUCCCGGAGUAGCGGCGAGCGAAAUGGGAACAGCCUAAACCACUUUCCUUUUGGAAGUGGGGUUGUGGGAAUCCAAAUAAAAAUCAAAUGAAAAUCAAAUGAAAAUCAAAUGAAAAUCAAAUGAAAAUCAAAUGAAAAUCAAAUGAAAAUCAAAUGAAAAUCAAAAAAGAUGAGACGAAGCAGCUGAAUCCUGCACCAUAGAUGGUGAAAGUCCAGUAGUCAAAAACUUUCAAACCUUGGAAAAUCCCGAGUAGCAUGGGACACGUGGAAUCCCGUGUGAAUCAGCGAGGACCACCUCGUAAGGCUAAAUACUCCUGAGUGACCGAUAGUGAAGAAGUACAGCGAUGGAAAGGUGAAAUAGAACCCCCUGUCGGGGAGUGAAAGAGAACAUGAAACCGUAAGCUGACAAGCAGUGGGAGGAUAAUCUGACCGCGUGCCUGUUGAAGAAUGAGCCGGCGACUUAUAGGAAGUGGCAGGGUUAAGGAGUUAUAUCCGGAGCCCAAGCGAAAGCGAGUCUGAAUAGGGCGAUACAGUCACUUCUUAUGGACCCGAACCUGGAUGAUCUAAUCAUGGCCAGGUUGAAGCUUGGGUAACACCAAGUCGAGGACCGAACCGACCGAUGUUGAAAAAUCGGCGGAUGAGCUGUGAUUAGGGGUGAAAUUCCAAUCGAAUUCAGAGCUAGCUGGAUCUCCCCGAAAUGCGUUGAGGCGCAGCGGCAACGAUGUCCUGUCUAAGGGUAGAGCGACUGUUUCGGUGCGGGCUGCGAAAGCGGUACCAAGUCGUGGCAAACUCCGAAUAUUAGGCAAAGGAUUCCGUAAGCCAGUGAGACUGUGGGAGAUAAGUUUCAUAGUCAAGAGGGAAACAGCCCAGACCAUCAGCUAAGGCCCCAAAAUGAUUGCUAAGUGGAAAAGGAUGUGAGAAUGCUGAAACAACCAGGAGGUUCGCUUAGAAGCAGCUAUUCCUUGAAAGAGUGCGUAAUAGCUCACUGGUAAAGCGUUCUUGCGCCGACAAUGGCCGGGACUAAGCAAUCUGCCGAAGCUAUGGGAUUUGUUCUUUAUUUUUUCUUUGAAAAAAUAGAUAGAAACGAAUCGGUAGGGGAGCGUUCUGCACUGGGUGAAGCUUUGACGGAAGUCUUGGUGGACGGUGCGGAAGUGAGAAUGUCGGCUUGAGUAACGAAAACAUUGGUGAGAAUCCAAUGCCCCGAAAACCUAAGGGUUCCUCUACAAGGUUCGUCCGUGGGGGGUGAGUCAGGACCUAAGGCGAGGCCGAGCGGCGUAGUCGAUGGCAAACAGGUUAAUAUUCCUGUACUUAUUUUUGUGGGAACCGAGGGACGAAGAAAGCUAAAUUGGGUCUGUCUUUGGUAUGGCAGUGGAAGCGUUCAAGGUGCUGAGAGGUCGAAAAAAAACGAAUCUUGAGCUGAGGCGUGAUCCCGCUUUCUAGACUUGUCUGGAUAAGCGCCAAUGAUGUUAUGCUUCCAAGAAAAGCUCGUACACCUCUAGAAGCAAUUCUAGAAAAACACAAAAAUAACCUGUACCUGAAACCGACACAGGUAGGUUGGUAGAGAAUACCAAGGGGCGCGAGAGAACUCUCUCUAAGGAACUCGGCAAACUAGCCCCGUAACUUCGGAAGAAGGGGCGCCCUCUUUAACGGGAGGGUCGCAGUGACGAGGUUCUGGCAACUGUUUAUCAAAAACACAGGUCUCCGCAAAGUCGUAAGACAAUAUAUGGGGGCUGACGCCUGCCCAGUGCCGGAAGGUCAAGGAAGUUGGUUAUAAAUCUUCGGAUUUAGAAGCUGACGACCGAAGCCCCGGUGAACGGCGGCUGUAACUAUCCUAAGGUAGCGAAAUUCAUUGUCGAGUAAGUUUCGACCUGCACGAAAGGCGUAAUGAUCAGAACGCUGUCUCGGAGAGAGACUCGGUGAAAUAGACUUGUCCGUGAAGAUGCGGACUACUAAUACUUGGACAGAAAGACCCUAUGAAGCUUGACUGUAUCCUGGAAUUGGGUUCGGGCUUUUCUUGCGCAGUCUAGGUGGGAGGCUAUGAAGAUUUCCUUCCGGGGAAGUUGGAGCCAUCAGUGAGAGACCACUCUGGAGAGGCUAGAAUCCUAAUGGUGAUCCUUGAAUCAGGACACUUGACAGUUUCAGGUGGGCAGUUUUUCUGGGGCGGAAGCCUCAUAAAGGGUAACUGAGGCGCGCAAAGGUCCCCUCAGUCUGGACGGAAAUCAGACAACGAGUGUAAAGGCAAAAGGGGGCUUGACUGCAAGACCUACAAGUCGAGCAGGAGCGAAAGCUGGCCUUAGUGAUCCGACGGUACCGCGUGGAAGGGCCGUCGCUCAACGAAUAAAAGUUACUCUAGGGAUAACAGGCUGAUCUUCUCCAAGAGUUCACAUCGACGAGAAGGUUUGGCACCUCGAUGUCGGCUCAUCACAUCCUGGGGCUGUAGUAGGUCCCAAGGGUUGGGCUGUUCGCCCAUUAAAGUGGUACGUGAGCUGGGUUCAGAACGCGUAAGACAGUUCGGUCCAUAUCCGGUAUUAGCGUUAGAAUAUUGAGGUCAGUCACUCAUAGUACGAGAGGACCUGUAGUGAACAUGCCAAUAGUGUACCUGUUAUCUUUCCAAAGGUAAACGCAGGGUAGCCACGCAUGGAGUGAAUAAGUACUGAAUGCAUCUAAGUACGAAGUCCAGACCAAGAUGAGUAUUCUCCAUCAAGCCGCAGCAAGACAAGCUGUUUUAUAGGUAUCAAGUGUAAGGCCAGUAAUGGUUUCAGCUGAGAUAUACUAAAGGCUAAUUGAUUUUGAC